rnacentral:lncRNA from 1 species
AUGAGUACUACAUUCUUUGACAAUUAUAUGGCAGCUGAAGAAGUAGGGGCAUUGAGGAAUGAAGGAUACCUCCAAAUUUUUAUAUUAAUAGGUACUGUCAUUUUUGUAAUCCUCAAUACUAUAUUUAGAGAUGAAAAAAUAAAAAAUAUUGAGGAUAAAAUAAAACAAAAUGAGGAUAAAAUAAAACAAAAUGAGGAUAAAAUAAAACAAAAUGAGGAUAAAAUAGAAAAUAUUGAGGAUAAAAUAGAAAAUGUUGAGGAUAAAAUAGAAAAAAAUGAGGAUAAAAUAGAAAAUAUUGAGGAUAAAAUAGAAAAUAUUGAGGAUAAAAUAGAAAAUAUUGAGGAUAAAAUAGAAAAAAUUGAGGAUACAAUAGAAAAAAUUGAGGAUACAAUAGAAAAAAUUGAGGAUAAAAUAGGAAAUAUUGAGAAUAAAAUAGAAAAACUUGAGGAUAAAAUAGGAAAUAUUGAGAAUAAAAUAGGAAAUAUUGAGGAUAAAAUGGGAGAUAUGGAAGAUAAAAUAGGAAAAAUUGAGGAAAAAAUGCAAGCCCAAUUAGAAGAUCUAAAAUGUUUCUUACAGGAUCAAUGGGCAAACACCCACUCUACCAGAAACAGACCUGUUUCUGAACCUUUGAAUGAGGAAAUUUCCUUCCCUGAAAUAGAGAUGGAAAACACCUUCCCUAUAGCCCAGUUAACAGACUGCUUCUCUCGUGCAGUGCAAAUCUUGCCUGAAUUUAAUCCCCAAAACCCUUCCCCUGCAAUCCCAGCUUCUCAUGUUCCUUCUCCUACAGAAAACCAAAUUCCAAUGCAAGGGAGAUCUUGUCCUCCUAGAGAAGCCUGUCCUUGUCAAACUGACCCACAGGUGCAAAAUUCAACUAGAGGCCUGUUUCCUCUAAGAGAAGUACCUGAAAUAGGACGAAAUGGGGAUGUGGUGACUUUAAGACAUAGGAUACCGUUUACUCCCCAAGAAAUAAAUGAAUUUACACGAAAUAUCCCCACAUAUGAACAAGAUCCUUUUCUAGUAACAAAAAAGAUGGGAGACAUAUUUUUUCAAUAUAAUCCGUCUUACAAGGACGUUGAGAGCUUACUACAGGCUUUUUUAAGUGAACGUGAAAAAAAUAAAAUAAUUGCUCAUGUCAACAAAACCCGGGGGCGUAAUGCAGCACAUUGGCCAUCUCAGGAUCCCGAAUGGGACUAUAAUAAUCCUGAGGACUAUCUACAACUAUACCGUUGUAGAGAGGCCAUCCUCACGGCCAUGAAGGAAUGUGCGGACAGUACAGAUAAGUGGAUGGAACUGGAAAAAAUUAAGCAAAAGGAAAACGAAACACCCUCCAGAUUUAUGGACAGAAUUAUCGAGUUUGGGGACAGAUACUUAGAUUGGGACUUAAAUAAAGAGAAUAGUUUAAGACAAGUUAGAAGAAUCUUUGUAAAUAAUUCUUGCAAGGCAAUUAAAAAUUAUUUUAAAACACAAUGCCCAAGAUGGUCAGAUAUGGACCUUGAAGAAUUGCGAAAAACAGCUAUAUAUGUUUUAAAGGGAAACGAAGAAAAGGAGAAAGAAAAUAAUGAUGACAUGGAGGAAAUGAAGAAAAAAAUAAGAUAUUUAAUCGAUAGGAUAACUAAAUUAGAAAGUGGGCAUGAUAAUGAACCAACGACAAUUGCCCCUCUCCAGAAAUCCAAUUAUCAAUCCAUUACUUGCCACUUCUGUGAGAAGAAGGGCCACAAAAUGAUGGAAUGUAGAACCUUUCUUAAGAUGUUUGGAAGGAAUACACAGUUUAAUAAUAGUUUUAGAAAUAAUAACUAUAGAAAUUAUGAUAAUGGUUAUAGAAACCAGAAUUCUAGAAAUUAUAAUAAUGACUAUGGAAAUAACUAUAAUGAAUAUAGAAAUAAGAACUUUAGAAACCAGAAUUAUAGAAAUAGGAAUUGGGAAAUUAAUGACAAUGCUCAAAUUGAAGAAAAUUUUAAUGAUAAUACUCAACAAUAUAUGAGAAAUGGAGCUCGUCCAAAAAAUACUCGAGGUACUAAUGACCCUCAGAGAGGUGCCCUUCAGGAGGGUGCCCAGGGAACUUCCCAGUAUAAUAAAGAUGAUUCUUCUUAG